UUCGUUUCCACAGAAAUAUCGUCCGCUUCUAACCAGCUUGGUUGGGCUGGUUGGGGGCAGCCAUGGGAUACACGGAUUCGGUCUUCGGCAUUUACAAUGAAAAUUUCCUUUCGUUGUUUUUUGGUUGUUGAAGGGUUUGAGCAUGAGGAAAAAUGGUGCAAUCCGAUCUCCCGCUCAUCGACCUCCGCCUCCUCUCCCAAUCCGAUCUCUACUCCCUCUCCCUUACUUCCUCCUCCUCCCUAUCCAAUCCCACCCGCCGGUUCGACGACGACGUUUUGAUUCCCAAGAUUGAUCGUUCCGUCUUCAACGAAUCCGCCGGCAGUCGCAAGCAGACCUACUCGCGCCUCCGCCUCGCUCCAUGCAACUCCCAAUUCCCAAUCCCCAACCCCAAAUCUCAACCCACCCCCUUUUCCCAUUCCCAAUCCCGAGACCCAGAAACCUGCCAGAUUAUCUCUCUCUUGAAACAACUCUUCCCCUCCUCCGAGAAAGCCGAGAACGACGACGUACUCGGCAAGCGGAAGCGAGGCCGGCCGCGCAAAGACGAGAACCGAGUGGUUUCGGUGUCUGAGCGUGAGAGAAAUUCGAACGUCAAGGAAUCGAGUGUCACGGAAGAGAGAGUGAAGGUGGAGGAGGCGGAGAUGGUGAUGGUGAACGAAAACGGCGUCGUAUUGGAUUUGGCUGCGUUGGGGAAUGCGGACGAUUCAUUUGGCGAGGCGUUGAGGAGGAGGACUGAUGGGUUGGAGACAGAAGCGCAGUUGCUAGGGUUUCUGGGAGGGUUGGAGGGAGGAUGGUCGAGUGCGAGGAAGAAGAGGAAGAUUGUGCAGGCGAGUGAGCUCCUUGAUGCGUUCUCGAGGCAGUGGAAGGUUAUGCUCUCUCUCAAGAGAAACGGAGGCCAUGUUUGUCUCUUCUGUAGACGAUACAUAAGGACUAUAACAAAAUGGUGCAACUACAUCUAUUUGUGGACUUUGAAAUAGAAACAAGGGGACUGUUCGUGCGUGAAUAAAGGCUUGCCAUUGCCCUUGCUGAUGUUGUGGGACAGAGCCAGUGUAUGUGUACAGAAGUUACGAACAACACAGAAUGUUGACUGACUUUGAAGGUGCUACAAGAAAAAAUGAAGUAGGGUUCUGCAUUUGGACUAGCAAAGAGUUCCACCAGUACCAGGUUGUUGGGAGGAAGCUCCCUACAGCAUCUGAUGAGCACCCCGGAAUUUUCUGAAUGAAGCUCUGGGCCACCAAUGAGGUUUGCGCCAGGUCCAAGUUCUGGUAUUUCCUGAGGAAGCUGAAGAAGGUCAAGAAGAGCAAUGGCCAAGUGCUUGCCAUUAAUGAGUGGUUCCUCCUCAACUCUCCUCCUGGCUUAAUCCAAUUUGUUGCCAAAGGAGGCUGCGUCAGAGGCAUCCCCUCGAAAUGACCGGCUGAUUUGGAGAUGUGACAUGAAGCAGAAACAGUUAAGGAAAUCUCAUAUGAAAUGGGUAUUUUAUGUUGGAGUUCUUUCAACUUUAUUUUGCUAAUUCAGUGAGAGUAGUUGUCAAAGAUGGCAUCAAAGCUUAGCAAAUCUAUGCUUGAUGGGGUUGAAAUUACGAUUUAAUCAGUGAUAGGACUUUUGGUUGAAUCCCAAGCAGGGAAUGCAUUCUUUGCCAUGGUUCCCAGACAGGUCCUCUUGGCUUCCCUUGAUGCUAUCAUUAAAACCCUGCAAAGGACAAGAAAGAACAGAAGCCACCUCUAUAGGAAAGGCAUCAAGAGAAAGAUCCCAUUCCAACAGACAUCAAGGCAGAAAAUCCCCCUCCACCACCCAAUAGCAUAUAUAUAUAUAUAUAUAUAUAAAGACCGGUCCAAACUCUUUUAAACAAUGAACAUUCUAAAACUGCUAAUAUUUUGAUGCUAUUUUGAUCUUUUGAUUGCUGCUUAGUUUAUUAAAAUAUGAUCAAUAUUUUAACAUGACAAGUAGCAUAUAAAACAUGUUAUUAGUCUAUUUUUAGUAAUAUAAACUUGCCAAAUAAAGCAUUAUGCCACUAUUAA